UACAGAGGGGGCGAGCGUUGUUCGGAAUUACUGGGCGUAAAGGGCGCGUAGGCGGCCCGCUAAGUCGAACGUGAAAUCCCCAGGCUCAACCUGGGAACUGCGUCCGAUACUGGCAGGCUUGAAUCCGGGAGAGGGAUGUGGAAUUCCAGGUGUAGCGGUGAAAUGCGCAGAUAUCAGGAGGAACACCGGUGGCGAAGGCGGGUCUCUGGGCCGAUACUGACGCUGAGGAGCGAAAGCGUGGGGAGCGAACAGG
rnacentral:rRNA from 1 species